rnacentral:rRNA from 1 species
CAGUAGCCGCGGUAACACGUAGGUGGCAAGCGUUGUCCGGAAUUAUUGGGCGUAAAGGGCUUGCAGGCGGUUUCUUAAGUCUGAUGUGAAAGCCCCCGGCUCAACCGGGGAGGGCCAUUGGAAACUGGGAAACUUGAGUGCAGAAGAGGAGAGUGGAAUUCCACGUGUAGCGGUGGAAUGCGUAGAGAUGUGGAGGAACACCAGUGGCGAAGGCGACUCUCUGGUCUGUAACUGACGCUGAGGAGCGAAAGCGUGGGGAGCGAACAGGAUUAGAUACCCCCGUAGUCCGUGUCUCUUAUAC